CCUACGGGGGGCAGCAGUGGGGAAUAUUGGGCAAUGGGCGCAAGCCUGACCCAGCAACGCCGCGUGAAGGAAGAAGGCUUUCGGGUUGUAAACUUCUUUUGUCAGGGAAGAGUAGAAGACGGUACCUGACGAAUAAGCCACGGCUAACCACGUGCCAGCCGCCGCGGUAAUACGUAGGUGGCAAGCGUUGGCCGGAUUUACUGGGUGUAAAGGGCGUGUAGCCGGGUUGACAAGUCAGAUGUGAAAUCCUGCGGCUUAACCGCGGAACUGCAGUUGAAACUGUUGAUCUUGAGUACUGGAGAGGCAAAUGGAAUUCCUAGUGGAGCGGUGAAAUGCGGAGAUAGUAGGAGGAACACCAGUGGCGAAGGCGGUCUGCUGGACAGCAACUGACGGUGAGGCGCGAAAGCGUGGGGAGCAAACAGGAUUAGAGACCCAAGUAGUC
rnacentral:rRNA from 1 species